rnacentral:rRNA from 1 species
GACGAACGCUGGCGGCGUGCUUAACACAUGCAAGUCGAACGGUAAGGCCCUUCGGGGUACACGAGUGGCGAACGGGUGAGUAACACGUGGGUGAUCUGCCCUGCACUUCGGGAUAAGCCUGGGAAACUGGGUCUAAUACCGGAUAGGACCACUGCCUGCAUGGGUGGUGGUGGAAAGCUUUUGCGGUGUGGGAUGGGCCCGCGGCCUAUCAGCUUGUUGGUGGGGUGAUGGCCUACCAAGGCGACGACGGGUAGCCGGCCUGGGAGGGUGACCGGCAACACUGGGCCUGAGAUACGGCCCAGACUCCUACGGGAGGCAGCAGUGGGGAAUAUUGCACAAUGGGCGCAAGCCUGAUGCAGCGACGCCGCGUGAGGGAUGACGGCUUUCGGGUUGUAAACCUCUUUCAGCACCGACGAAGCGCAAGUGACGGUAGGUGCAGAAGAAGGACCGGCCAACUACGUGCCAGCCGCCGCCGUAA